rfam:Myotis davidii contig60694, whole genome shotgun sequence.
GGCAGUUCUCAGGUGAUGCACUCCAGAAUUGGGCUUCCUUCUCUCUGGUUCUGGGUGCAUCACCAGAGAACUGCA